AGGCCCAGGACUGGCAAAAAAAAAAAAACAAAAAUGAUAAAAUAUUGGUAUUCGCAGGGAAAUGGUCAGAACUUGAACAAAUAAUGUUGAACGAGACAAGCCUAGAACACAGAAAACAAAGGGGCAUGAUUUCCUUGAUAUGUGAUUGUUAAGGUGGGGGGG